AUAUUGAUGUGGCUCUAAACAACAACAGUGUGCGAAGGCCCAGGGGCACUUUGGGAUUGACCAAGAGGAAACACAAGUUGCACAAUGAUACGAUCUUGUUGGUACAAUUGUCAGAGAAGGGAACUCCCACAGCAAAGGCCAUAAAACCAUCCAGGGCAGUCUGGGGCGGCUCAGUUCUGCGGUGCCAGGGAGUGGAGCAGAGCUCAGCCCCGUCCCAAACACAGAUGGGACCAUGAACUCCGGACACAGCUUCAGCCAGACCCCCUCGGCCUCCUUCCAUGGCGCCGGAGGUGGCUGGGGCCGGCCCAGGAGCUUCCCCAGGGCUCCCACCGUCCAUGGCGGUGCGGGGGGAGCCCGCAUCUCCCUGUCCUUCACCACGCGGAGCUGCCCACCCGCUGGAGGGUCUUGGGGUUCUGGAAGAAGCAGCCCCCUCCUAGGCGGAAAUGGGAAGGCCACCAUGCAGAAUCUCAACGACCGCCUGGCCUCCUACCUGGAGAAGGUUCGCGCCCUGGAGGAGGCCAACAUGAAGCUGGAAAGCCGCAUCCUGAAAUGGCACCAGCAGAGAGAUCCUGGCAGUAAGAAAGAUUAUUCCCAGUAUGAGGAAAACAUCACACACCUGCAGGAGCAGAUAGUGGAUGGUAAGAUGACCAAUGCUCAGAUUAUUCUUCUCAUUGACAAUGCCAGGAUGGCAGUGGAUGACUUCAACCUCAAGUAUGAAAAUGAACACUCCUUUAAGAAAGACUUGGAAAUUGAAGUCGAGGGCCUCCGAAGGACCUUAGACAACCUGACCAUUGUCACAACAGACCUAGAACAGGAGGUGGAAGGAAUGAGGAAAGAGCUCAUUCUCAUGAAGAAGCACCAUGAGCAGGAAAUGGAGAAGCAUCAUGUGCCAAGUGACUUCAAUGUCAAUGUGAAGGUGGAUACAGGUCCCAGGGAAGAUCUGAUUAAGGUCCUGGAGGAUAUGAGACAAGAAUAUGAGCUUAUAAUAAAGAAGAAGCAUCGAGACUUGGACACUUGGUAUAAAGAACAGUCUGCAGCCAUGUCCCAGGAGGCAGCCAGUCCAGCCACUGUGCAGAGCAGACAAGGUGACAUCCACGAACUGAAGCGCACAUUCCAGGCCCUGGAGAUUGACCUGCAGGCACAGUACAGCACGAAAUCUGCUUUGGAAAACAUGUUAUCCGAGACCCAGUCUCGGUACUCCUGCAAGCUCCAGGACAUGCAAGAGAUCAUCUCCCACUAUGAGGAGGAACUGAUGCAGCUACGCCACGAACUGGAGCGGCAGAACAACGAAUACCAAGUGCUGCUGGGCAUCAAAACCCACCUGGAGAAGGAAAUCACCACGUACCGACGGCUCCUGGAGGGAGAGAGUGAAGGGUAAGGCAAAGGCUGGCACGAGAGGAGCAUGCGAGGGACCUCCAGCUCCUGUGGGUAUAUGUGUGCAUCUUUGGGUUCUGUUAGCAAGAGUCACUCUAGCAAGAGAAAAGUUGUGUUGAGCUACUCUAGAAGAUACCUAUAGCUGGUUGUAUUUCACUAAGCAGCAAGUAUAAUUAAUCAACUAAUACUCACA
rnacentral:sRNA from 1 species